GAUGAACGCUGGCGGCGUGCCUAACACAUGCAAGUCGAACGAGAUGCGUAUCGGAAAGCUUCGGCCGGAAGAUACGUUAUCUAGUGGCGGACGGGUGAGUAACACGUGGGUAACCUGCCUUAUGGAGGGGGAUAACAGAGAGAAAUCACUGCUAAUACCGCAUAAGCACACAGUACCGCAUGGUACAGGGUGAAAAGAUUUAUCGCCAUAAGAUGGACCCGCGUCUGAUUAGCCAGUUGGCAGGGUAAAAGCCUACCAAAGCAACGAUCAGUAGCCGAUCUGAGAGGAUGACCGGCCACAUUGGGACUGAGACACGGCCCAAACUCCUACGGGAGGCAGCAGUGGGGAAUAUUGCACAAUGGGGGGAACCCUGAUGCAGCGACGCCGCGUGAGUGAAGAAGUAUUUCGGUAUGUAAAGCUCUAUCAGCAGGGAAGAUAAUGACAGUACCUGACUAAGAAGCCCCGGCUAACUACGUGCCAGCAGCCGCGGUAAUACGUAGGGGGCAAGCGUUAUCCGGAUUUACUGGGUGUAAAGGGAGCGUAGACGGAAUGGCAAGUCUGAAGUGAAAUACCCGGGCUCAACCUGGGAACUGCUUUGGAAACUGUUGUUCUAGAGUGUUGGAGAGGUAAGUGGAAUUCCUGGUGUAGCGGUGAAAUGCGUAGAUAUCAGGAAGAACACCGGAGGCGAAGGCGGCUUACUGGACAAUAACUGACGUUGAGGCUCGAAAGCGUGGGGAUCAAACAGG
rnacentral:rRNA from 1 species